AUGGGUUGUCCCCUUCAUUCAACAACGGCGCCGCGGGAAACCCUUUCCGCCGUCUUCUUCUUCCUUCCACGUCGCGACGCCAUGACUCCUCCAUCUUCUUCUCCGAUUGAAUCGCGAGCGGUUCCACUUCCCUCUUUCUCUGAUCGAUCCUUUCCAUUUCUGCGAACGAAGAUCUAUUCUCUCUCCGAUACCUCACCACGGCGGGGCUGUCCACCACGACGCUUUCUCCUCCGAUUCUGUCUCAGUUUUGUCUCAUCUUCAACAUCGUCUCAGCCUACAUCGGAACCUCGCAGAUAA